CCGAUGACUAUUCAUCGAUAGCGGUCCCUGAGCAGUGAAGGGUAAGAGCAGUGCACUCUGGGAAGGAAAACCAUCCACACCAGAAUUGGAAUAUUAUUCCGCUGCAUGCCUCCAAUAGACUGCACUUUCCUUUCUGAAGUGCGUUAAGCCUCACAGCCUCUCUGAAUUCAAUCAGUCAUCAGGGCUGGUGGCAGACGACAGGGGCAGGCCGGGAUAAUCCAGGACAACUUCAUCAGCCUCGUCUUCUCCUGCAGUGAUGCAUCCUCUCCCCUGGUCAGAAAGCUCAUGGAUUUGAUCCAAAAUAUCUUUAUUUGAGUUCCAAAGAUGAACAACUGGUUUGGAACAGCAAGAGGGAAAGCCAACCUACAGAGACGGGAGACCACUGAUGGACCCUUUCCACACGGCCUCCUUUAUAUCUGAGCCAGUCACGCUGGCAAGCCGUGGCUGCUCUAACAAACCACUACAGUCCUGAAGAUCCACUGGAUGGAUUCUUUAGCAAAACCUCAUUGGAAUAUCGGUGGCUUAAUUAAUCCAAGCUGCGAGAUGUAAUUUAGCAG
ensembl:lncRNA